rnacentral:rRNA from 1 species
AACGAACGCUGGCGGCAGGCUUAACACAUGCAAGUCGAACGCAUCCUUCGGGGUGAGUGGCAGACGGGUGAGUAACGCGUGGGAACGUGCCCUUCAGUUCGGGAUAACCCAGGGAAACUUGGGCUAAUACCGGAUACGUGCGAGAGCAGAAAGAUUUAUCGCUGAAGGAUCGGCCCGCGUCGGAUUAGCUAGUUGGUGGGGUAAUGGCCCACCAAGGCGACGAUCAGUAGCUGGUCUGAGAGGACGAUCAGCCACAUUGGGACUGAGACAUGGCCCAAACUCCGAGGGGAUGCAGCAGUGGGGAAUAUUGGACAAUGGGCGCAAGCCUGAUCGAGCCAUGCCGCGUGAGUGAUGAAGGCCUUAGGGUUGUAAAGCUCUUUCGUCCGGGACGAUAAUGACGGUACCGGAAGAAGAAGCGCCGGCUAACUUCGUGCCAGCCGCCGCGGUAA